UACGUAGGGUGCAAGCGUUGUUCGGAAUCACUGGGCGUAAAGAGCGCGUAGGCGGUUUGAUAAGUCAGAUGUGAAAGCCAACGGCUUAACCGUUGAAGUGCAUUUGAAACUGUCAGACUUGAGUACCAGAGGGGAGAGUGGAAUUCCUGGUGUAGAGGUGAAAUUCGUAGAUAUCGGGAGGAAUACCGGUGGCGAAGGCGACUUUCUGGCUGGAUACUGACGCUGAGGCGCGAAAGCGUGGGGAGCAAACAGG
rnacentral:rRNA from 1 species